CUUGUUCUUCAUCUCUCAUCUUUUUAGAUCGCCUCCCACCCACUUCCUCCUGUCUCUGUAAACUUGUCCUCGGAUUUUUCCAAAUAUCAUAAACAAAAUUUUGAUAAAAUCCUUCAAACAUUGAAUUCAUCUCGAAUUACGUAUCAUGCGUCAUCUUUCGAUCACAAUGUCACUGGAAUUGUGAAUAAACAUAUAAAUAAUGAAGAAAAUGCUCCAUUGAUAUGCUCACAGGGAGCUAGAAGUUCUCGUGGGCCAGUUGAUCUCUGCCACCCAAUUAGUGGUGCCAGAAUAAAGACGUCUAGCAAGUCAUGCAUCCACAUGGGUUUCUUUGAUCUCGAAUCAUUUCUAGAACUUACUGCACAGCUCGAGAGAAAUAUCACAUUUGCUUAAAAGAUCAUCAUGGCAGGACUUUAUUAUAGACCCCUAUUUCAAUCAAGUUAUUGGAAAGAUUCAUCGAUUUGGGCUGACACCAUAGAAGUUAAGAUCAAGCUUGAUGGUUCAUGGUUUGCAAAGAGGGGACCUAAGCAUAGAUGAAUAACGAAUUCGAUGUCGUGUGACUUGAUAUGCACGUCUAAGACAACAAACUCAUGAGCUUCUUUAGGAGAUCCAGUAAUUUCCAGUGACUCUUAAUAGGCUUGCAUGCCAGAUGUAUCAUACUAUUAACUUAGUGUUGUUGUAUAUUUGUAUCAAUCAUGGGGUAUAAAAGUCUAAACAUAGUAAAAGGUACCAUUCAAGGAUAAUUUUUUUUAUAGAUUGACAAGAUUAGCAUGAUGCUAAUUUUUCUUGUCUUAAGCCUCAUUUGUUUAUUGAUUAAUGACAGCUUAAUGGAUUUCGCUGACCAAUUAAGAUAUUUCAUCUCAUUUGGUAACUUUUUUC